rnacentral:rRNA from 1 species
GGACGAACGCUGGCGGCGUGCCUAACACAUGCAAGUCGAACGGGACUUAAGGGGGCUUGCUCCUUAAGUUUAGUGGCGAACGGGUGAGUAACGCGUGAGGAACCUGCCUUUCAGUGGGGGACAACAGUUGGAAACGACUGCUAAUACCGCAUAACAUUCACGGACCGCAUGAUCUGUGAAUCAAAGCUUUAUGUGCUGAAAGAUGGCCUCGCGUCUGAUUAGAUAGUUGGUGGGGUAACGGCCCACCAAGUCGACGAUCAGUAGCCGGUCUGAGAGGAUGAACGGCCACAUUGGGACUGAGACACGGCCCAGACUCCUACGGGAGGCAGCAGUGGGGGAUAUUGCACAAUGGAGGAAACUCUGAUGCAGCAACGCCGCGUGAGGGAAGAAGGUUUUCGGAUUGUAAACCUCUGUUGAUAGGGAAGAAGAAAGUGACGGUACCUAUCGAGGAAGUCACGGCUAACUACGUG